CCUACGGGAGGCAGCAGUGGGGAAUAUUGCACAAUGGGGGAAACCCUGAUGCAGCGACGCCGCGUGAGUGAAGAAGCACUUCGUUAUGUAAAGCUCUAUCAGCAGGGAAGAAAAUGACGGUACCUGAGGAAGAAGCCCCGGCUAACUACGUGCCAGCAGCCGCGGUAAUACGUAGGGGGCAAGCGUUAUCCGGAUUUACUGGGUGUAAAGGGAGCGUAGACGGCAGUGCAAGUCUGGAGUGAAAGGCCGGGGCCCAACCCCGGGACUGCUCUGGAAACUGCGUGGCUGGAGUGCAGGAGGGGUAGGGGGAAUUCCUGGGGUAGCGGUGAAAUGCGUAGAUAUCAGGAGGAACACCAGUGGCGAAGGCGGCCUGCUGGACUGCAACUGACGUUGAGGCGCGAAAGCGUGGGGAGCAAACAGGAUUAGAUACCCCUGUAGUC
rnacentral:rRNA from 1 species